UGGGGAAUAUUGCACAAUGGGGGAAACCCUGAUGCAGCGACGCCGCGUGAGCGAAGAAGGCUUUCGAGUCGUAAAGCUCUGUCCUAUGAGAAGAUAAUGACGGUAUCAUAGGAGGAAGCCCUGGCUAAAUAUGUGCCAGCAGCCGCGGUAAUACGUAUGGGGCGAGCGUUGUCCGGAAUUAUUGGGCGUAAAGGGUACGUAGGCGGUUUUUUAAGUCAGGUGUCAAAGCGUGGAGCUUAACUCCAUUAAGCACUUGAAACUGAAAGACUGGAGUGAAGGAGAGGAAAGUGGAAUUCCUAGUGUAGCGGUGAAAUGCGUAGAUAUUAGGAGGAAUACCGGUGGCGAAGGCGACUUUCUGGACUUUUACUGACGCUCAGGUACGAAAGCGUGGGGAGCAAACAGG
rnacentral:rRNA from 1 species